rnacentral:rRNA from 1 species
GACGAACGCUGGCGGCGUGCUUAACACAUGCAAGUCGAACGGUGACGCGCCUUCCUUUUUGGUGGGUGUGGAGGAGUGGCGAACGGGUGAGUAACACGUCAGUAACCUGCCCCCUCCUGCGGGGUAACCCCAUGAAAUUUGGGUUAAUACGGGAUACUCUGGUUCUUUCGCCUGCUGGGGCUGUAGAAGGGAUGGUUUCGGGGGUGAAUGGGCUCGCGGCCUAUCAGCUUGUUGGUGGGGUGAUGGCCUACCAAGGCGGUGACGGGUAGCCGGCCUGAGAGGGUCGACGGUCACACUGGGACUGAGACGCGGCCCAGACUGCCACGGGAGGCAGCAGUGGGGAAUAUCGCACAGUGGGCGCCAGAAUCAUGCCGCGCCGCCGCGUGAGCGACGGAGGCCGGCGGGUGGCGAACCUCUUUCGCCCGUGAAGCAGGCAGGCCUCGUUUGUGGGUGGGUUGACGGUAGCUGGAUCAGAGGCGCCGGCUAACUACGUG